rnacentral:rRNA from 1 species
GAUGAACGCUGGCGGCGUGCCUAACACAUGCAAGUCGAACGGAAAGACCAUGAGCUUGUGCCGUUCACGAUUGCGGAAGGCGGGAGUGUCACGCGUGGAUCCCGCCCUUGUCUUUCGGGGAUAUUCACGAAACUGCGGCUAAUAUACCAGAUGAUCUACUGAACCAUGGGGGGCAUUGGAGAGUGACGGCUUUGGGGUAUGUACUAGAUGGUUCCGAGCCGCAUUAGCUGGUUGGUAGGGUAACGGCCUACCAAGGCGACGAUGCGUAGCCGAUCUGAGAGGCUGAUCGGCCACAUGGGAACUGAGACACGGUCCAGACUCCUACGGGAGGCAGCAGUAGGGAAUGUGCGGCAAUGGGCGGAAGCCUGACGCAGCGAGCCCGCGUGAGUUAUGAAGGUCUUCGGUUCGUAAUGACCUGUUUUUGGUUAAGAACAGCUGUGGAAUGAGACAAGGCGGUCGUGACGGUACCGAAUCAAGAAGCACCGGCUAACUACGUG